GACGAACGCUAGCGAUAGGCCUAACACAUGCAAGUCGAGGGGCAUCACGGAGUAGCAAUACUUUGGUGGCGACCGGCGCACGGGUGAGUAACGCGUAUGCAAUCUACCUACAACAGGGGGAUAACCCGGAGAAAUCCGGACUAAUACCGCAUAACACAGGGGUCCCGCAUGGGAAUAUUUGUUAAAGAUAUAUCGGUUGUAGAUGAGCAUGCGUUCCAUUAGGUAGUUGAUGAGGUAACGGCCCACCAAGCCUGCGAUGGAUAGGGGAACUGAGAGGUUUGUCCCCCACACUGGAACUGAGACACGGACCAGACUCCUACGGGAGGCAGCAGUGAGGAAUAUUGGUCAAUGGGCGAGAGCCUGAACCAGCCAAAUCGCGUGAAGGAAGACUGCCUUAUGGGUUGUAAACUUCUUUUGUACAGGAAUAAAAAGAGGGACGUGUCCUUCAUUGCAUGUACUGUACGAAUAAGCAUCGGCUAACUCCGUGCCAGCCGCCGCAGUAA
rnacentral:rRNA from 1 species